rnacentral:tRNA from 1 species
GGUCGCAUAGUCUAGUGGUUAUGAUAUCUGCUUUACAGCCGCAGAGGGUCUCAGGUUCGAUCCCUGAUGCGACCA